UAGAAAAAAAUUAAAAACUGAAUACAUUUUGUUCCACAAAAGUGAUGAUACAUUUAAGAAUAAUCGCACUCGUAUCUGUUCUGUUUUGACAAUUUAGAUAUUUUAAGUUAAAUUUUUCUCUUUAAAAUAAUAUUACAGUCUCAAGUGCCAAACUCAGUUCCAGUUGAGGAAAAAAAAAGCGACUGAAUUUGUAUAUGAAAGCACCAACAAUGUGCUGAAACAGAGCUUGCGUUCCUUACUGCAAUCGUCAGAACUGGCCCGCGAUUUACUCAACAAUAAAGUAAGCACAGUGUUGUCUGUGUAGUUAGGUUCCUUAGUGGUGAUUGUCCCCUUGCAUUCGUUUGUAUUGUUGCCUUACUGUUUCUCUUUUUAAAAAUAUAAGAGUGAUUUAUGUAUUGUAUAUUUUUCCCUUGAUCGAGAUUGAUUUUGAUUUCCUUUACCGAGGAAAGGCAAAUCUCCUGUUCGAUAGGUGGAACAGCUUUAAGGACAAAAUUCUGAUAUAUUUUAAACGGCACAUCCACAACGAAGACUGCAAGCGACAACUACUUGAUGUAGAACGUUGAUGCCCAGGAUUACUUGACCCUUAUUUUGCUUAAUGCCGUAUUGCCGCCGACAUCUCGGGUCUUGAAUCAAAACGGGAAAGGGAACCAAAAACCGACAAUAGCGGAUAUUCAACUUUCGAUGGUACUACGCCUUUCAAGCUUGAAUAACUAUGAACGUCGUAUCAACAAUAUAGUCAGGGAAAAGUAUUUAGAGGGAUCAACAAUACAGUCAUUUAUAAUUAUUCACGCAUCGUCUGAGCUGGAGUUCUUAGAUUUCUAUGUUUACUUUGACAAGACGCUGGUAAAGUGUGAUUCCUUCCUGAAAAGCAUAGAUUUGUGUUUUAAGUGCUUCAUGUCUUACUCGCUGAGCUACCCGAAAACCUCAGAGCAAGCUUGGUACACAGUUCAAAAGAUCAUUUUCGAAAGAGACACCGCUUAUGACAUAAGAUCAUUGAAUUUACAAAAUCUAAUCGAUUUCAUGAAUAAAAAUUAAUUUUUUCAAAAUGUAUAUCUGCUAUCGCUGUCGAAAAUUAUUUCCAACGCCCAACAAUUUAAUAUCCUAUUUAAAGAUUAAGCAUCUGUUAACAAGAACAUCCUUGAGGCUGCCUUGUCAGCAGGAUGGCUGAAAACAAAUUUUUACAAAUUUUCUGAGUUUUCGGCGGCACUUCAUUAGGUUACAUACGCAAUCAAUUCCAAAUCGAAGAAAUUCAUGAGAGGAAUUGCUAUUCUCUAAGUACAAUCAAACCGUUAAAGAAGUUGAAGAAAAGGAUGAGGAAGAACAAACAAAUUUAUGUUUUGAAGUCCAAA